CGGCCCUGUGAAACUCUCACCCAGCGCUAACCCUAAUUGUGUUCUUCGUUAGUAUGUGUUCGGCGGCGAGGACGAUGAUCCAUUUUCCUCGAUGUUUCUGUAACGAAUCGACAUGAUUUCUACGACUUUAGUCACAUCUAUUCAGAUUAUCUCUCCUAACCAAAGGGCACUCGACUCUUCCACUUCCUUAGCGUUUAUGUUGCUGUACAUCGACGUUACCACCACCACUCUUUAUCAUUCAAUGGAGUUCUUUAGUUCUUUCCAACAUCCUUUUGUUUCUCCCGCUAUUUAAACACUUUCACUGAAUCGCUUCUUCUCUGAAAUCUACCAUAGAAGAAAAAUUUAUGGCCAUGAGCUCUGUUAAAUCCACCGGAAAUUCUCCCGUCUCCACCGGAAAUUCUAUAUGGGCUUGACGUUGAUAUGUAACAGUGACCUCAAAUCUUCCAUUGAUUUAUCUAUCUUCCGUUCUCUGAAAAGAAAUAUGAUUGUCGGUUUGUCUCUAUAAAACAGAUGUACGGCCCAAGGGGGUUUUUAUGGCAGAGACGAUGUAUGCCAGAAUCUGUGCUGUGAUAGUUUGUUUAGGUCCUUACAAAGUUACUUUUUUUUUCUUUGUUGGUGGCUGCUAUAGGAAUCUUGACCCAUCGGGUGACGUCUUCUCUUACGCACAGGUGGUUACGAUGCAUAGUUUGAUUAAGCUAAAAAAGCCAAGAGUAGAAACUAGCUGUGCCGGAACCAGCAUUAAUCAAGAGAGAAUCUUCCUUUAGUUGCAUUAUCGAUGCCAUCACUGAUGGAAAGGUGUUUUGCUUUAAACCGGCAUAUCACACCCAGCUUUAGUAGUAGCAGGAAAAGGAUUCCCUAUUGACAACUACUGUGAUCAUAGAGAAAGGCACACCAAAAUUUGAGCUUGAUAUUCAGCAAUAUGAUACAAUUGUAAACAUUUAAAGUUUCUUCAUACACAAGAAAUGAUAGUUUUCUUCAAUGUGUCUAAUCUUAAAAAUCUUUAGAAAAUGUUUGCAUAUAUCAACUUUCUUGAGUUUAUUCGCGAUUGCAGAUGCUGCACUUCUCUUUGCUUCUUCUGAGCUGACCUAUACAAUUCCAUAUGUUUCAGUAAGGGAAUCUGAGUUCAUAUUAUACAGGAUGCGCUAAUCAAGUGUUUCAAAUCAAUACAUGAGAGAGAGGCAGUUAAAGACAACAAAAGGAGCACUGAAACAGAAAUUCUCAAGCUGUGAAAAAGCGAUAAGAGUAUCACGAUCACAGCUUCUUCACCUAAGAAUCUAUUUCUAUUGUUCCUUCGUAUGGACUGAGUAUGUGUCAAAAGAUCGGGAUGCUCGCAGAUUCUCGAGAAAGAGUGGGAUUGAUAAAUAAUGUUUGAGAAAACAUAAAGAGCGAGCCAAGUCGACGCUUACAUAACGAAGAUGCAAAUGUAUAUAUCGAAAAAGGAGAGUUUUUUUUUUCUUUUACCGGGCAGAUAUUUUUUUUUCUGAAAAUAAUAUUAGCAGUUUAUAUUAUUGCUAAGCAGAAACUAUUUAAUUUUAGUUAACAUUUAGAAAUGUAUAUUUUACCCUCAUUUGAAUAUAAAUGAACUUCCACUAUUUUAA